GAUGAAUGCUGGCGGCGUGCCUAAUACAUGCAAGUCGAGCGGUAAGGCCCUUCGGGUACACGAGCGGCGGACGGCUGAGUAACGCGUGGGAACAUGCCCCAAAGUGAGGGAUAACGCACCGAAAGGUGUGCUAAUACCGCAUAUGGUCUUCGGAUUAAAGGAUUUAUCCGCUUUGGGAGUGGCCCGCGUACGAUUAGAUUGUUGGUGAGGUAACGGCUCACCAAGUCGACGAUCGUUAACUGGUCUGAGAGGAUGAUCAGUCAGACUGGAACUGAGACACGGUCCAGACUCCUACGGGAGGCAGCAGUAAGGAAUCUUCCACAAUGGGCGAAAGCCUGAUGGAGCAACGCCGCGUGCAGGAUGAAGGCCUCGGUCGUAAACUGCUUUAUGUAGUGAAGAAUAU
rnacentral:rRNA from 1 species